AACGAACGCUGGCGGCAGGCCUAACACAUGCAAGUCGAACGAAACGCCCCUUCGGGGGGUGGAAAGUGGCAGACGGGUGAGUAACGCGUGGGAACCUACCCAAGGGUACGGAAUAACCCAGGGAAACUUGGGCUAAUACCGUAUACGUCCCCCUUUGGAGACAUUGGGGGAGAAAGAUUUAUCGCCCCUGGAUGGGCCCGCGUCGGAUUAGCUUGUUGGUGGGGUAAUGGCUCACCAAGGCGACGAUCCGUAGCUGGUCUGAGAGGAUGAUCAGCCACACUGGGACUGAGACACGGCCCAGACUCCUACGGGAGGCAGCAGUGGGGAAUAUUGGACAAUGGGCGCAAGCCUGAUCCAGCCAUGCCGCGUGAGUGAAGAAGGCCUUAGGGUUGUAAAGCUCUUUCGGCGAGGAAGAUAAUGACGGUACUCGCAGAAGAAGCCCCGGCUAACUCCGUG
rnacentral:rRNA from 1 species